CUAGGUAGUUUUGGCCGAGGAAGGACGUUUGCUUAUCAACGAUAUCAUCGGGAAGGCGUUAAGCAGCCUGUGAUCCGGUGGUUUCCGAAUGGGGAAACCCGCCCCUUUAUGGGGAAUUAUGAAGUAAAGGCUUCGAUUUAUCGAAGAGAUAGUUUCAUAAAGGGCACCAGGUGAACUGAAACAUCUAAGUAACCUGUGGAAAAGAAAUCAUAUGAGAUACCGUCAGUAGCGGCGAGCGAACGCGGUAGAGUCUAAACCCCGAUCGCAAGAUUGGGGGGUUGUAGGGCAGUCAAUAUAGGAAAGAUGCGGAUAAGAGAAUAUUUUGGAAUAAGUAACCAAAGGGAGUGAAAGUCUCGUAUCUGAAAUCCAAAUCUUCUUUAGAUUGUUCCUAAGUACCAUGGAGCACGGCAUAACUCCAUGGGAAUCCGGGGCGACCACGCUCCAAGACUAAAUACCAAAACUGACCGAUAGUGAACUAGUACCGCGAGGGAAAGGUUAAAAGCACCCCGGUAAGGGGAGUGAAAUAGUACCUGAAAUUGUCGACUAACAAACAGACAAAGCUUACGAUUUAUCGUGAGUGAUGUCGUGCCUAUUGAAGAAUGAACCGAUGAGUAUCCCGACGAGCGCUUACGUCUAACCUAUUUUGUAGGGAAGGCAAAGUGAAAGCAAGCUCUAAGUGAGCGUCCCGACGUAAGUCGGGGAUGCGCUUGCGGGAUGGCCCGAAACCGGUGUGAGCUAAGCAUGAACAGGGUGAGUCCCGAUGAAAAUCGGGAGGAGGCCCGAACUCGUUGUUGCUGCAAAAACAUGAGAUGAUUUGUGCUUAGAGGUAAUAUGCCAAUCGAACCCGGAGAUAGCUGGUUCUCCCCGAAAUAUAUUUAGGUAUAGCGUCUAUAUUUAGUCCUAGGGGUAGAGCACUGAAUGGUCCACCAAGCGUAAGCGAGGCGGAUCAAUCAAACUCCGAAUACUAGGAUAUCGUAUAGGCAGUCAGUCCUACUCGGCUAAGCGAGCAAGGUCGAGCAGGGGAACAACCCAUACUCCCAAUUAAGGUCCCUAAAUUUUGACUAAGUUGUAAAUGAAGUUGAAUCGCUUAAACACCCAGGAGGUUGGCUCAGAAGCAGCCACCCUUUAAAGAGUGCGUAACAGCUCACUGGACGAGUGGUUCAGCGCAAAAAAUGAACGGGGAUAAGUCAAAUACCGAAGUUGGAGAUUUUCCCGAUUUAAUCGGGAGAGUGGUAGGGGAGCGUUCUUAUUGCAGUGAAGCAUAUGCUGUAAAGCAGUGUGGAGUGAUAAGAAGUGCGAAUGUCGGUAUGAGUAGCGAGAGUCCGGUGAGAAACCGGACCGCCGAAAGCCCAAGGUUUCCGUCCCAACGUUUGUCGGGGACGGGUUAGUCGGAUCUAAGGUGAGUCCACGCUAAGCGUGGGGUAACUCGAUGUAUAAGCCGUUGAUAUUCGGCUACAAAAUUGAGUGUAAGCAGGGGAUGACAAAAUGGGAGAUUUCAUACGGGGGUGUGAUACACCGUCUAAGCCAUAAGGUAGUGAUAGUUGGUAAAUCCAUUAUCAUGAUUAACUAAGUGGCGAUGGCAAGUCCAAGGCCGCAAGGCUGCGGGCAAGAUGAAAAAUCUUCAAUUUUUAGAAAAAGUCUCAUGUAGUCUGCCGUAAGGCAGACAAGCUUAAUUUUUCCGUACCGCAAACCGACACAGGUGGGCUGGUAGAGAAUACCAAGGCGACCGGGAGAAAACGCGUUCAAGGAACUCGGCAAAACAGCUAGGCGUAACCUUUGGGAGAUGCCUUGCCAGAUACCAUGCGGUAUCUGGUUACAACAAAAGAUGCUAACCAACUGUUUAACUAAAACACAGGCCUCUGCAAAGCCGAAAGGCAACGUAUAGGGGCUGACGCCUGCCCAGUGCACGAAGGUCAAGAGACAUGGGUGAACUCGCAAGAGGGAGCUUGAGUCUCAAGCCCGUGUGAACGGCAGCAGUAACUAUGAAUCAACAGUUUGUAGUUCUAAAAGUUGGCUAAAUGCUGGAACAUCCGUACCGUAAUCCGCCAGAAGGCGGACGAACGGUUGAAGUAUCUGACGCUACCAUGUAUCAUGGUGAUAAUGCGAUCAGCGCGGAAAAUCAGCAGGAAAGACUUGCUUAGGGAAAAUUUUGGAUAUUAUCUGGCGGGAUUUAUUGAAGGAGAAGGAAGUUUCAAUAUUUCUUUACGAAAGAAAUCUGAUUAUAAAGUCAGGUGGCAAGUAGUAAUGAGCUUUAAUGUUUCCCAGAAAGAUCCGACAUUAUUAUAUAUGUUGAAGGAUCGAUUAGAAUGUGGAAUCAUUAAAGUCAGAAAAAGAGACGGUCUUUAUUCAUUUGAUGUAACAAAUCCAACCGAUAUAAUCCAAAAAGUUAUUCCAUUUUUUCAAAAAUAUCCAGUAUAUUCUCUCUCCAAGAAGAAAAAUUUUGUAAUUUUUUGUAAGAUUGCGAAGUUAAUGGAGAGGGGACAACAUAGAAAUCAAGCUGGACUUCGAAAAAUCCUAGAACUUCGAGAGCAUAUCAAUGAAGGGAUAGGAAGGACGAGAAAAUAUGGAAUUAAUGAUGUGUUUCCUAAGUAAGAAUCCUCAGAGACUAUAUGCCAACUCCGUCAAUUGACGGAAUGAUAUAGUCCGACCUCAUAAGCGAUUAUGAGAGACGUAAUCAAUCGUCUGAAUAACAAUGUGAACUGUUCUAUGGUAGACCCGAAAAGGGUCCGCUGCCAUAGUGAGGUGUGAACCCUCCGUCAUGUACAAUCAGCCGAAUGUACUAAAACGAAAACUUGACUAUAUGCUGGGAACUCCUGUAUUCUGGAACUACUAUGGUAAGAAAAACACAUAGUGAAAAAGUUACCAGUAGGGACAAUCAGCAGGAAAGGUCAGUAAGAAUUAAAAAUACUGUAGUAGCUCUAAUACUGGUGGGUAUAGGAUUUCUACUCUAUAGCAAAUUUUUUGAUUUGUUUGUGGAUCCUUAUAUUGUUCCAAUUUUUGGGAUGAGACCAGUAUUUUCUGCUAUCACAGCGUUAAUCUUUAUGCUCCCCGGCUUAUUUUAUGGGAUGUAUAAAAGAGCAUUUUGAUUCUACUGAAAUCCUCAGAGACUAUACGUCAGGAUCCGCCAAAAAAGGCGAGAUAAGAUAUAGUCCAAACUUCGAAAUAUCGAAGGUUUAGAGCGAAAUUCCUUGUCGGGUAAGUUCCGACCCGCACGAACGGCAGAAUGAGUUAGCAACUGUCUUGAAUCGUUACCCGGCGAAAUUGAAUUGGCUGUGAAGAUGCGGCCUACUUGCACCAGGACAAAAAGACCCCGUGGAGCUUUACUGUAGCUUGGCAUUGGGAAGACGUUUUCAACUGUCGAGAAUAGGUGGGAGCCGCAAGGCAACAGUGGAAUACCACUCUUUGGAAAUGUUGACCCUAACCCCUUUGCCACAUAAAAAUCUGGCAGGAGAACAGUGUCUGGCGGGCAGUUUCGCUGGGGAGGUGGCCUCCAAAAGUGUAACGGAGGCGUACAAAGGUCAGCUUAGUUGCAAUGGAAACGCAACGGUAUGUGCAAACGCAUAAGCUGGCUUGACUGCGAGACCUACAAGUCGAGCAGGGUCGAAAGACGGUGUUAGUGAUCCUCGUACUCGCUGUGGAAGCGGUACGGGCUUAACGGAUAAAAGCUACCCCGGGGAUAACAGGCUGAUCGGAUCCGAGAGUCCAUAUCGACGAUCCGGUUUGGCACCUCGAUGUCGGCUCAUCCUAUCCUGGGGCUGAAGAAGGUCCCAAUGGUCCGGCUGUUCGCCGGUUAAAAGGGUACGCGAGCUGGGUUCAGAACGUCGUAAGACAGUUCGGUCUC
rnacentral:rRNA from 1 species